UAGCUCACUGGUCGAGUGGUUGUGCGCCGAUAAUGUAGCGGGGCUUAAGCGUGCCGCCGAAGCCGUGGCAAUAACUUUUUGUUUUUGGGUAGGGGAGCGUCCUGCUCUGGGUGAAGCUGCCUGGUGAUGGGUGGUGGACGGGGUGGGAGUGAGAAUGCAGGCAUGAGUAGCGUUUCGUGGGUGAGAAUCCUACGCGCUGAUUGACUAAGGGUUCCAGGGGCAGGUUUGUCCGCCCUGGGUUAGUCGGGUCCUAAGGCGAGGCCGACAGGCGUAGUCGAUGGGUGACCAGUUGAUAUUCUGGUACCGUUUGUUUUCCGUCUAACGCUGCAUGCUUUCGCGUCGUGUGCUUGCCGUGCGUGGUGUUGUCUUUCGGGAUGAUGCUGAGUGUGGCUGUGUGUGGUGUGGGGUGUGUGGUGAGCAUUGGGGUGACGCAGGGAGGUAGUUGCUGCACACUGGUGGUUAUGUGUGUCUAAGGUUGUGGCCUGUUUCUUGGGUGAAAUCCGGGAAGCUGCGUUUGAUCGCGUGGGUGAGGGCUGAUGGGGCUGCCUGUUGGGGUGGCUAGUGGUGAUCCUGUACUGCCGAGAAAAGCCUGGAUGUGAGGAAGAUGAGCGCCCGUACCCUAAACCGACUCUGGUGGUCAGGUAGAGUAUACCGAGGCGUGCGAGUGAAUCAUGGUUAAGGAAUUCGGCAAAUUGCCCCCGUAACUUUGGGAUAAGGGGGGCCCUGCUGGUGUGCCUGCUUUUGCGUGGGUGGUGCUGGUUGGGGUCGCAGAGAAUUGGGAGAAGCGACUGUUUAUUAAAAACAUAGGUGUGUGCUAAGCCGUAAGGCGCUGUAUACGCACUGACGCCUGCCCGGUGCUGGAAGGUUAAGAGGACGACUUAACUGCUUUUUUGUGGUGAAGGUUUGAAUUUAAGCCCCAGUAAACGGCGGUGGUAACUAUAACCAUCCUAAGGUAGCGAAAUUCCUUGUCGGGUAAGUUCCGACCUGCACGAAUGGCGUAACGACUUCUCCGCUGUCUCGACCGUGAUCUCGGUGAAAUUGCAGUACGAGUAAAGAUGCUCGUUUCGCGCAGCAGGACGGAAAGACCCCGGGACCUUUACUAUAGCUUGGUAUUGGUGUGUGUUUGUGCUUGUGUAGGAUAGGUGGGAGACUGUGAUGCCGUGCCGCUAGGUGUGGUGGAGUCGUUGGUGAAAUACCAUUCUGGUUCAAGUAUGCAUCUAACUUGGAGCCCUGAUCGGGUUUGGGGACAGUGCCUGGUGGGUAGUUUAACUGGGGCGGUUGCCUCCUAAAGGGUAACGGAGGCGCUCAAAGGUUCUCUCAGCCUGGUUGGUGAUCAGGUGGUGAGUGUAAGUGCACAAGAGGGCUUGACUGUGACACUGACGGGUGGAGCAGGUACGAAAGUAGGAACUAGUGAUCCGGCCAUGGCUUGUGGAAGCGUGGUCGCUCAACGGAUAAAAGGUACCCCGGGGAUAACAGGCUGAUCUUGCCCAAGAGUCCAUAUCGACGGCAUGGUUUGGCACCUCGAUGUCGGCUCGUCGCAUCCUGGGGCUGGAGUUGGUCCCAAGGGUUGGGCUGUUCGCCCAUUAAAGCGGUACGCGAGCUGGGUUUAGAACGUCGUGAGACAGUUCGGUCCCUAUCCGCUGCGCGCGUUGGAAACUUGAUGAAGGCCCGUCCCUAGUACGAGAGGACCGGGAUGGACGAACCUCUGGUGUGCCAGUUGUACUGCCAGGUGCAUUGCUGGUUGGCUACGUUCGGUUGGGAUAACCGCUGAAAGCAUCUAAGCGGGAAGCUUUCUUCGAGAUGAGGUUUCCGUGCCCCCUUUUUU
rnacentral:rRNA from 1 species